ACGUGUUACAAUGGGGGGUACAGAAGGCAGCUACACGGCGACGUGAUGCUAAUCCCCAAAACCUCUCUCAGUUCGGAUUGGAGUCUGCAACCCGACUCCAUGAAGCUGGAUUCGCUAGUAAUCGCGCAUCAGCCACGGCGCGGUGAAUACGUUCCCGGCUUGUACACACCGCCCGUCAAGCCAUGAAAGCCGGGGGUACCUGAAGUCCGUAACCGUAAGGAGCGGCCUAGGGUAAAACUGGUAAUUGGGGCUAAGUCGUAACAAGGUAUC
rnacentral:rRNA from 1 species